GUGAGGUAACGGCCCACCAAGGCGACGACGGGUAGCUGGUCUGAGAGGACGACCAGCCACACUGGAACUGAGAUACGGUCCAGACUCCUACGGGAGGCAGCAGUGGGGAAUAUUGCACAAUGGGCGCAAGCCUGAUGCAGCGACGCCGCGUGAGGGAUGAAGGCCUUCGGGUCGUAAACCUCUUUCGGCAGGGACGAAGCGAUCAGUGACGGUACCUGCAGAAGAAGCCCCGGCUAACUACGUGCCAGCAGCCGCGGUAAGACGUAGGGGGCGAGCGUUGUCCGGAUUUAUUGGGCGUAAAGCGCGCGUAGGCGGCUGCGCAAGUCGGUUGUGAAAACCCGGGGCUCAACCCCGGAACUGCAUCCGAUACUGCGUGGCUAGAGGUAGGUAGGGGAGAUCGGAAUUCCUGGUGUAGCGGUGAAAUGCGCAGAUAUCAGGAGGAACACCGGUGGCGAAGGCGGAUCUCUGGGCCUUACCUGACGCUCAGGCGCGAAAGCUAGGGGAGCAAACAGGAUUAGAUACCCUGGUAGUCCUAGCCGUAAACGUUGGGUGCUAGGUGUGGGCGGAUAUCGACCCCGUCCGUGCCGAAGCUAACGCAUUAAGCA
rnacentral:rRNA from 1 species